UUGACCUCGGAUCAGGUAGGAAUACCCGCUGAACUUAAGCAUAUCAACGGAG
rnacentral:rRNA from 1 species